CUACGGGAGGCAGCAGUGAGGAAUAUUGCACAAUGGGGGGAACCCUGAUGCAGCAACGCCGCGUGGAGGAUGACGCAUUUCGGUGUGUAAACUCCUUUUAUAUGUCAAGAAAAUGACGGUAGCAUAUGAAUAAGCACCGGCUAACUCCGUGCCAGCAGCCGCGGUAAUACGGAGGGUGCAAGCGUUACUCGGAAUCACUGGGCGUAAAGGACGCGUAGGCGGGUUGGAAAGUCAGGUGUGAAAUCCUACAGCUUAACUGUAGAACUGCACUUGAAACUUCUAAUCUAGAGUAUGGGAGGGGGAGAUGGAAUUAGUGGUGUAGGGGUAAAAUCCGUAGAUAUCACUAGGAAUACCUAAAGCGAAGGCGAUCUCCUGGAACAUUACUGACACUAAGGCGUGAAAGCGUGGGGAGCAAACGGGAUUAGAUACCCCCGUAGUC
rnacentral:rRNA from 1 species